CAGCCGCCGCGGGAAUACGUAGGUGGCAAGCGUUAUCCGGAAUUAUUGGGCGUAAAGCGCGCGUAGGCGGUUUCUUAAGUCUGAUGUGAAAGCCCACGGCUCAACCGUGGAGGGUCAUUGGAAACUGGGAAACUUGAGUGCAGAAGAGGAAAGUGGAAUUCCAUGUGUAGCGGUGAAAUGCGCAGAGAUAUGGAGGAACACCAGUGGCGAAGGCGACUUUCUGGUCUGUAACUGACGCUGAUGUGCGAAAGCGUGGGGAUCAAACAGGAUUAGAUACCCCAGUAGUCCCUGUCUCUUAUAC
rnacentral:rRNA from 1 species